UACGUAGGGACCGAGCGUUGUCCGGAAUCAUUGGGCGUAAAGAGCGUGUAGGCGGCUAUUUAAGUCCUGCGUGAAAUCCUGCGGCUCAACCGCAGACGGUCGUGGGAAACUGGAUGGCUAGAGUGCGGGAGAGGAGAGUGGAAUUCCCGGUGUAGCGGUGAAAUGCGUAGAGAUCGGGAGGAACAUCAGUGGCGAAGGCGGCCAUCUGGAUCAACACUGACGCUGAGGCACGAAAGCGUGGGGAGCAAACAGG
rnacentral:rRNA from 1 species